GCCAGCGACUCAGGACAAGUGGAAGACAGAGCCCUUGCAAUCCGAUCCGUCGCAGGGCUCACACACCGGGAGGCCAGCCCUAGCCCACCAACACGACAUGGCCGGAAUCGGACAGCCGCACCGCGAUCAGACGGGACGGGACCCGCCGCGCCACGGGGCCUGCUGAUUCUUACCCAGUUCAGGAAAGGGUAAGGACUGUGAUCCAUAGCGUUUGUCUAUUAUCUGGAUGUAUCACGGCUUGGUACGGCAACUGGUCUGCCCAGGACCGCGAGAAGCUGUAGAGAGUUGUGGACACAGCCCAGCGCAUUAUGGACAUCAGUCUCCCCUCCUUGGACUCCGUCUUUACCUCUCGUUGUCUUGGUGUAGCAGCCAGCAUGAUCAAAAACCCCACCCACCCGGGACAUUCUCUCUUCUCUUCCAUCGGGUAGACGAUACAGGAGCCUGAGGGCAUGUACCACCAGACUUAAGGACAGCUUCUUCCCCACUGUGAUAAGACUAUUGAACGGUUCCCUUAUACGAUGAGAUGGACUCUGACCUCACCAUCUACCUUGUUGUGACCUUGCACCUUAUUGCACUGCACUUUCUCUGUAGCUGUGACACUUUACUCUGUACUGUUAUUGUUUUUACUUGUACUACUUCAAUGCACUUUGUAUUAACUCAAUGUAACUGUACUGUGUAAUGAAUUGACCUGUGUGAUCGGUUUGUAAGACAAGCUUUUCACUGUACUUCGGUACAAGUGACAAUAAUAAACCAAUACCAAUAUUACAGAGAUAAUCUUCAGUGACUGAGCUGGUGGCAAGUUUAUUUGGCAUAGAGAUUGAACAGGGUUGGGGUCAGAAUGAGGACAAUCCAUUCUUUGUUUAUUCCAAGAACCAGUUUUCUCAUUCAGGGUCACCUGGAAAUAUCUGCCUUUGAGAAGUGUUUCAAUUACAUCAAUAAACUAUUGGAGAAGGACUCUUGAUACUUGUUUUUAUGUUUAUAUUUUUCUUGUGAAUGUUGUGUACCUGAUGCUAUGUGUCUGUGAUGCUAUUGCAAGUAAGUUUUUCUUUGUACCUGUGCAUGCAUGUAUUUGUACGUAUGACAAUAAACUCCACUUUGACUGCUGUAGUGGUCAAGAAACAUG